CAAGGAGGGAGAAAGAGGCGGGCGCAGAGGUUGAGGUGUCUUUUAAUGAGAACAACAAGGAAAGAAACAAAACCGCACUACAAAACACACUCAUGACACGCACACACCAACAAUGACCGACCAGGACUGGGAGAACAUGGCUGAACUUAAUACAUAGGCUAAAAGGGAGAACAGAAACAGGUGGGGGCUAAACGCAGGUGAAAAGAAAUAGACUGAAACGGAAACAAGAACAGGAAAGACCAUACAAGGACAAGAAAAGCCCUUCUUAUUUUUCAUCAUCCAAUGAGAGAGCUUGUUCUACAUCACACAGUACAAAGAGACACACAGAAGAGAUAGAGACUUGUAACAGACUUCAACAAUCUUCAACAAUCAGAGUGGUCUCUAUAUGUAGGAGGUAACAGUGUCAUUCUACCACAAGAGGGUCUCUAUCUAUAGAGGAGAGUAACAGAGUCAUUCUACCACUAGAGGGUCUCUAUCUAUAGAGGAGAGUAACAGAGUCCUUCUACCACUAGAGGGUCUCUAUCUAUAGAGGAGAGUAACAGAGUCAUUCUACCACUAGAGGGUCUCUAUCUAUAGAGGGUAACAUAGUCAUUCUACCACUAGAGGGUCUCUAUCUAUAGAGGAAAGUAAGAGAGUAAUUCUACCACUAGAGGGGUCUCUAUCUAUAGAGGGUAACAUAGUCAUUCUACCACUAGAGGGUCUCUAUCU
ensembl:lncRNA